rnacentral:tRNA from 1 species
GGAGGAGUGGCUGAGUGGUUGAAGGCACGCGACUCGAAAUCGCGCAGGGGUUAACGCCUCUCGUGAGUUCAAAUCUCACCUCCUCCG